AUUGAACGCUGGCGGCAUGCCUUACACAUGCAAGUCGAACGGUAACAGGUCUUCGGAUGCUGACGAGUGGCGAACGGGUGAGUAAUACAUCGGAACGUGCCCGAUCGUGGGGGAUAACGAGGCGAAAGCUUUGCUAAUACCGCAUACGGUCUACGGAUGAAAGCGGGGGAUCUUCGGACCUCGCGCGGACGGAGCGGCCGAUGGCAGAUUAGGUAGUUGGUGGGAUAAAAGCUUACCAAGCCGACGAUCUGUAGCUGGUCUGAGAGGAUGAUCAGCCACACUGGGACUGAGACACGGCCCAGACUCCUACGGGAGGCAGCAGUGGGGAAUUUUGGACAAUAGGCGAAAGCCUGAUCCAGCCAUGCCGCGUGCAGGAUGAAGGCCUUCGGGUUGUAAACUGCUUUUGUACGGAACGAAAAGCCUCUUUCUAAUAAAGAGGGGUCAUGACGGUACCGUAAGAAUAAGCACCGGCUAACUACGUG
rnacentral:rRNA from 1 species